AGAGUUUGAUCCUGGCUCAGAACGUACGCUGGCGGCACGCCUAACACAUGCAAGUCGAACGAAGUAGCAAUACUUAGUGGCAGACGGGUGAGUAACAUGUGGGUAUCUACCCUUUGGCCUGGAAUAACACGAGGAAACUUGUGCUAAUACCGGAUAAGUCUUUACGGAGAAAGCUUUAUGCACCAAUGGAUGAGCCCGCACUUGAUUAGUUUGUUGGUAGGGUAAUGGCCUACCAAGACUAUGAUCAAUAGCUGAUUUGAGAGGAUGAUCAGCCACAUUGGGACUGAGACACGGCCCAAACUCCUACGGGAGGCAGCAGUGGGGAAUCUUGCACAAUGGAGGAAACUCUGAUGCAGCGAUGCCGCGUGUGUGAAGAAGGCCUUUGGGUUGUAAAGCUCUUUCGUCGGGGAAGAAAAUGACUGUACCCGAAUAAGAAGGUCCGGCUAACUUCGUGCCAGCAGCCGCGGUAAUACGAAGGGACCUAGCGUAGUUCGGAAUUACUGGGCUUAAAGAGUUCGUAGGUGGUUGAAAAAGUUGGUGGUGAAAUCCCAGAGCUUAACUCUGGAACUGCCAUCAAAACUUUUCAGCUAGAGUAUGAUAGAGGAAAGCAGAAUUUCAAGUGUAGAGGUGAAAUUCGUAGAUAUUAGAAAGAAUACCAAUUGCGAAGGCAGCUUUCUGGAUCAUUACUGACACUGAGGAACGAAAGCAUGGGUAGCGAAGAGGAUUAGAUACCCUCGUAGUCCAUGCCGUAAACGAUGUGUGUUAGACGUUGGAAA
rnacentral:rRNA from 1 species